rnacentral:tRNA from 1 species
GAGCUGUGCGGCCAGGUCGGGAUGCUGCUGGAAUUUAGCGUGUACCAGGCGCAUCAUGCCAGAGAGGCGCUCGAUGUUCUAAUCGGGGCGCAGCUCA